rnacentral:rRNA from 1 species
UACGUAGGGUGCAAGCGUUGUCCGGAAUUAUUGGGCGUAAAGAGCUCGUAGGCGGUUUGUCGCGUCGAAUGUGAAAACCCGGGGCUCAACCCCGGGCCUGCAUUCGAUACGGGCAGACUAGAGUUCGGUAGGGGAGUCUGGAAUUCCUGGUGUAGCGGUGAAAUGCGUAGAUAUCUGGAGGAACACCGGUGGCGAAGGCGGCGUUCUGGACUGCAACUGACACUGUAAAACGAAAGCCAGGGGAGCAAACGGG